rnacentral:sRNA from 1 species
GCUGGGUGUGGUGACCCAUGCCUGUAAUCCCAGCCGCUUGGGAGGCUGAGACAGGAGGAUCAGAAGUCCAAGGCCAGCCUCAGCAACUUAGUGGGAGCCUGUCUCAA